GGGCUGUUAGCUCAGUUGGUAGAGCAGUUGACUUUUAAUUAAUUGGUCGAAGGUUCAAAUCCUUCACAGCCCACCA
rnacentral:tRNA from 1 species